rnacentral:rRNA from 1 species
UACGUAGGGUGCGAGCGUUAAUCGGAAUUACUGGGCGUAAAGCGUGCGCAGGCGGUUUUGUAAGCCAGAUGUGAAAGCCCCGGGCUUAACCUGGGAAAUGGCAUUUGGGACUGCAAGGCUUUGAGUGCGGCAGAGGAGACUGGAAUUCCUGGUGUAGCAGUGAAAUGCGUAGAUAUCAGGAGGAAUACGAUGCGAAGCCAGGUCUCUGGGUGACA